rnacentral:rRNA from 1 species
AUUGAACGCUGGCGGCAGGCCUAACACAUGCAAGUCGAGCGAGCGGCGGACGGGUGAGUAAUGUCUGGGAAACUGCCUGAUGGAGGGGGAUAACUACUGGACACGGUAGCUAAUACCGCAUACCAUCAGAUGUGCCCACAUGGGAUUAUCUCGUAGGUUGGGUAACGGCUCACCUAGGCGACGAUCCCUAGCUGGUCUGAGAGGAUGACCAGCAACACUGGAACUGAGACACGGUCCAGACUACUACGGGAGGCAGCAGUGGGGAAUAUUGCACAAUGGGCGCAAGCCUGAUGCAGCCAUGCAGCGUGUGUGAAGAAGGCUUUCGGGUUGUAAAGCACUUUAAGCGGGGAGGCGUUACCCGAAGAAGAAGCAACGGCUAACUCCGUGCCAGCAGGCGCGGUAAUAC